UAGGAGACUGCCGGGGUCAACUCGGAGGAAGGUGGGGACGACGUCAAAUCAUCAUGCCCCUUAUGUCUUGGGCUUCACGCAUGCUACAAUGGCCGGUACAAAGGGUUGCGAUACUGUGAGGUGGAGCUAAUCCCAAAAAGCCGGUCUCAGUUCGGAUUGGGGUCUGCAACUCGACCCCAUGAAGUCGGAGUCGCUAGUAAUCGCAGAUCAGCAACGCUGCGGUGAAUACGUUCCCGGGCCUU
rnacentral:rRNA from 1 species